rnacentral:lncRNA from 1 species
AGUUUCAACAUAUAAAAGUUUUAUAGAGAAAAGCUGAAAUAUAAACAUCGUCUCAAAUCCAUCUAGUACAUAAGAGUUUAUCAGAACGCAGCCCGUACAUCAAGUCCCAAAACUGAAAUUAAAGACAAAAGGGAAAUCAAGCUCGGUCCUCAAAAUAUGAGGACUCACCACAACUUGAAAUCUCUUUAACAACCUCUAGCCACGAAAUUGAGAACCCUGAAUGUCAGAUCCUACAUUUGAGAAAAUGUAGGCAAGAGUAUACAUUAGUACAAAAAUUCACCAAGUAUGAUAGUCAUGCAUAAAAGUAUGAAAUCAUGCUAAAUCGGACAUUUUCAUGAUAUUCAAAGACCAAGUCAAACAUAAGAUAAGAAGGUCAGAAACAUAAAACGAAAUCAUGAUCAAUGCAAGAUAAACCGUCUUUGAACACAUGUGAGAUACUUCUUGAAGUAACCUUAGUUCAUUAUUAUUGCAAAAAUUAGCCUUAACUGACAUAAAUACCAUGUGAGCUAUAACAUGAUCCCUUGGUGUCUCCCACACCGAAAAGGGUUGUCCUACUUUCCAAGGUAGAACCAUGAAUCUGAGCUAAAGUUGAUCCACUAGUUAAUUUCUAUUUAGACAAUCAUCCAAUGGGGGCACAUAGGUAAGGGAUAAGGAUAUUGCUUUUAGAAACCCGACCUCAACACAGAAGAGCUUCCAUCUCAAUAUCAUCUUGGUUCUAAACAUAAAUCCCACGGAGUAGUUAUUAAUCUUAACUUGUCUCGUGAUCCAUGGAAAGGCAUAAUUAAGUAGCCAAUCCAAGCUAAAAUCAUAUUAUCAUCCAUGGAAAGGUGCAAUUAAGCAACCAAACCAAGAUAGAGUCAUAGUAUAGCUCCUUAGACCAUGCAUGAGAAAACCUUUCACCAUCCAUGAUCUUUUCAUAAUAGCUUCUAAGGCCCACAUUCAUUCACUUUAUGCUAGAGAUGCCCUACUAAUACUAAUGGAAAUAGUUUUGAAAUUGUGGCCUAUAAUCAUUGAUCACAUAUGCGGAUACCAUACUAGUUAAAACCUAAUUUAGGAAAAUAGCUCGAAAACUAUUGAGGGCAAAUCUAGAUGUCAUUCAUGUCAUCUGGCCAAGAUUCAUAGAACAUAUAGACAAUCUCAUCUAUAAGAUUUCUUGAGUAAUAAACAUAACUUAUAAACAUGCAUUCUUUUUAAUAAUUCAUAAGCUUCAUCAUAUUUUCAAAGUCAAAGCAUCUUCAAUUCCAUAACAACAAUCUCAUCAAAAGGACAUGCAUAUUUUCAUAAAUUCAUCUUUCAUAUUUCAUGACCCACAUUAUGUCGAUAGAUGAAAGUCGGAGGUAAAGCUCUUAGCGCACGAUAGAAAAUUAGGUAACGUUCUCAGCGCACGAUAGCAAGGAAGCAAUUGUACCUGAGGAUUCUUCCAAUGGGAAGUCGGUGAGCUCCGAUGAACACAAGCAUUGCAAAAAAAUGGACACGCUUGUUACAGAUGUUAUACAGAAGUUGCAACCAUUAACUUUUGGUAGCUUCCUACCAUCAAAAUUCAAAGCAAUUCCAGAGGAGACUGAUACUAGUAGCAAUGAAGAUGAGAUGCUGGGACAUUUGCGCAACCUACCCCUGUAGCUCCUAGGUCUGUUAGAGGUAAUCAAAAUACUGGUAAGUCUCUGAAAUUCAUACCUCUAGCCACAAAUGACUGUCAAGUUACCAAGGUAUGGGGAUUUGUUAAUAAACCUCGGGUCCUAUUGCAUGAGGAUGGCUACUACAUAUUCAGAUUUCAAAUUGUAGAAGAUAGGGAGAAGGUGCUUCAAUCAAGACCCUAUUUCUAUAGGAAUAAACCUGUAAUCUUAUGACAAUGGGAGAUAGAUUUUGAUUUGGAAGAAUAUAUGAUUAGGCAAAUUCCUAUUUGUGUCAAAUUUCCUAAGUUGCCAGUAGGUUACUGGUCUGUGGAAGCGUUCAGCAAAUUCGCUAGUGCAGUUGGGAACCGUUUGCAUACUGAUAAUUUUACAGCAAAUGCAGAAAAGAUUUCAUAUGAUAGAAUUCUCAUAGAAGUGGAUGUUUCUCAGCCUUUUCCAGAUUGUAUAGCUAUUGAAACACCCUCUGGACCAUGGACGCAGCCAGUUGAAUAUGAAUGGAGACCUAAAUUUUGUGAUGAGUGUAUACGACUGGGUCACACUACUGGGAGUGCUGGUAUAAACAUGAAGCUGAUAUGGAGGAGAAAGGAGCACCAGUGAUAACCAAGAGGAAGAGAGGUAGAGGAAGGAAAAUUCCAAAAGAAAAAUGGAUCCCUAUUCUGGGCAAAGUAAAUUAGCCUGAGGUAUCAGUGGCAGCAAAGCAAACUGAAACUACUCAAACUUCUGCACUGAAUGUAGAUCCAGGACAAAGAGAUAGGAAGCAAAUUGUGGAGAACUCGUAUGAGAGCUAUGAGGAUAAGAAAGGAUUAUCUGAGGUAGUUCAUGGUGGAAUAAAUAGUGCUAGAAACUCCAUGCCAUUUGUUCCUCCAUGAUUAUCUCUACAUGAAAUAUAAGGGGCCCUAACCAAGGCCAUAAACAGAAGGAGUUGAAGCUCUUUCUGACAAAACAUAAAAUAGAUAUAUUUGGAUGUCUGGAAACAAGAGUUAAACAGCCUAGAGCCCCACAUAUUAUGAGGAAGAUAUCUUAGGGUUGGAAGUCAUGUAAUAAUUACUUAGAAGAACCUAACAGAAGAAUUUGGGUAUUGUGGAAACCUCACUUGCGCGUACAGAUCAUUGAGAUGAAAAGGUAAUAUAUUCACUGCUUAGUUGAGGAUCCUGGGGUUCAAAGCACAUUAUAUGUCACAAUAGUAUAUACAAGGAAUGAAGGACAUGCAAGGAAUGAAGGACAACAAAAAGAGAUACUUUUGCAAGAAUUGAUGCAGAUUAAACCACAGCUCAGAUCCCUUGGGUAUUAUGUUGUGACUUUAACAGUGUAUUGAGGACUGCAGAUAGAAUAGGAUCACCUGUUACAAACAGGAAGUACAAUUCUUUCAGAGUAUGGUAGAUCAUAUGCACCUCACUCCUAUUAGAGAUACUGUAUGGCACUUUACUUGGUCUAAUAAGCCGGAGGUAGAGAAUAGAGUAUAUAGUAAGAUAGAUUGGGCAUUUGGUA